CUUGUGCAUAUUAAAUAAUGGACACGGAUAAAUUCAUGACAUAAUUUGUGUUUGGUGAUAGUGAUGUGUUUGUAGAUCUUACUUUACUGAACAUUCUUGUUGCUACAAAUAUCUCUGUCUAUAAUGAACUUGGCCCAGUAAUUACAGUGGAAAAUAUUUUCUACAAAUUUACAAAAAUUUAUGACAAAUGUUAAAAAUUAGCUAUAAAGAGCAAUAACUCCUUAAGGGGUCAAUUGACUAUUUUGGUCAUGUAAACUUAUUUGUAGAUCUUAUUUUGCUGAACGUUAUUGCUGUAUACAGUUUAUCUCUAUCUAUAAUAAUAUUCAAGAUAAUGACAAAAAACGGCAAAAUUUCCUUAAAAUUACCAAUUCAGGACAGUAACCUAACAACGGGUUGUCCGAUCCAUGUGAAAACAUCAGGGCAGAUAGAUCUUGACCUGAUAAACAAUUAAACCCUGUCAGAUUUUCUCUUAAUGCUUCGGUUUUUGAGUUAUAA
rnacentral:lncRNA from 1 species